rnacentral:lncRNA from 1 species
CAGUAGGUUGAUUUGGGGAGGAACGGAACUGUUAGUUUUCUCUGCAUGUUCUUUUAGUUGAGAAAUUCAGAUAUUGUUUGUCCUGUCUGUUUCUGGGAGGCUGUGGACAAAUGAAAAAUUAGUAUAUACCUCUUACUGAAGUUACCUCCACUUCUGGUAGUUCAGGAAGAGAAUGAAGGAAAACUACAGUGGAGAGGACUUGUAUGGGGAACUGUCUGAUUAGUGUUAGAGUAAGCAGUCCACAAAUCUGCAGAGCUACAAUAUUUGUGUAACCGGGUCUGCCUGCCAACUUUUGUCUAAACAACAGUCACAAUCCGAAACUUUUUCCAUUUAUCAUUUUUCAGUGACUGUACCAUAGCUACAAAAGAAUUUUCACUAGCCACAGCAUAAAGCCCUGCUUCGCUCUUGGAUCCAGUUACUUUUGCAAUAGACCUGCUCAUAUCAGAUCAAAAACCUAGAAAGUGUGCAAACGCAGGACAGAGUAAAUCUCUUUUCUCCAACCCCUCACCCCACAAAGCACAAACUUCAACAUUACCAGCCGUGUCCUUUUCUCCAGACAAGUUUGUAAAAGGCUCCUUGUUCAGUGAACUCUGGAAAUUGGGAGGGGAACAAGCUACUGCUUUGUUUUCUGUUUACACCCUGACAUUUAUAAACAAGCGAAAAAUGCAGCCCACUUGUGGAAUAGACAGUAUUCUGCUACUUGGCAAGAAAUAACCCAGUUCAUCAUGAAGACAUGGUAAUAACGUGAGCCAAAUUUCACUCAGACUGCCCUGAAUGUUAACACCUGCAG